AGCUCCAAUAGCGUAUAUUAAAGUUGUUGCAGUUAAAAAGCUCGUAGUUGAACUUCGAACCUGGUUAGGUGGUCUGCCUUACGGUACGUACUGCUCGGCCGGGUUCUACCUCUUGGUGAGCCGGCAUGUCCUUCACUGGGUGUGUCGGGGAACCAGGACUUUUACCUUGAGAAAAUUAGAGUGUUCAAAGCAGGCCUUUGCCCGAAUACAUUAGCAUGGCAUAAUAAAAUAGGACGUGCGGUUCUAUUUUGUUGGUUUCUAGAGUCGCCGUAAUGAUUAAUAGGGAUAGUUGGGGGCAUUUGUAUUCCGUUGCUAGAGGUGAAAUUCUUGGAUUUACGGAAGACAAACUUCUGCGAAAGCAUUUGCCAAGGAUGUUUUCA
rnacentral:rRNA from 1 species